rnacentral:tRNA from 1 species
GCCCGGGUGGCUCAGCGGUUGAGCAUCUGCCUUCAGUUCAGGGCAUCCCGUGGUCCUGGGAUCGAGUCCCACAUCGGGCU